CAAGCAUCUGGCAUCAGGGAUCUUCGGACCCGGCAGAAGCAUCAGCCACAGGGGAGGUGCCCUCCCGGGGAAGCCAACGAGAGCUCCUCCGGCCCCACAUCAGGAGGGGCCCCUCUCUGAAGCUGCUGGCAGCCAGACCUCAGGCCCCAGACCUGUCUUCUCCCCGUCCCCUCCCUCAGGCCUCUCCCGCACCUGCACCUCUCACUGCCACCUGGCUCUCAGCCUCCCGGGCCCCGGUGCCCCGAAGCCAGCCCAGCUCUCGGGUCUUGGCCACUCUGACCCGUCCUGGGAGCGCUGCCAGGCCUCCGGGAGGGAGCGCACCGGCUUGGGCUAUGCCCCCUGGCGGCUCGGCGUCGUCUGCCUAGACCCCUGACCCCAGCCUCGACUCCGGGGCCUCCUUUGUGUGAAGAGCUGCUCCCGGCUCAGCAGUGCGGUCGGGGGCCACAGGGAAAGCUGGCCCCGCCGGGCCCCCGGCCCCCUCCACUUGCCUCGUGGUCGGGCAGCUCCCCUGGCCUCUGGGCCUCUCCCUGCUCCCCUCGGCCCCUCCUCCUGGGCCGCCCCAAUGAAGGAGCCGGAUGCCAUCAAGCUAUUUGUGGGGCAGAUCCCGAGGCAUCUGGAGGAAAAGGACCUGAAGCCCAUCUUUGAGCAGUUUGGUCGGAUCUUCGAGCUGACUGUCAUCAAGGACAAGUACACCGGGCUGCACAAGGGAUGUGCCUUCCUGACAUACUGUGCCCGCGAUUCAGCCCUGAAGGCCCAGAGUGCCCUGCACGAACAGAAGACGCUUCCAGGGAUGAACAGGCCGAUCCAGGUCAAGCCAGCCGACAGCGAGAGCCGAGGAGAAGACCGGAAGCUCUUUGUGGGGAUGCUAGGAAAACAGCAGACAGAUGAAGACGUCCGCAAGAUGUUCGAGCCGUUCGGGGCCAUAGACGAGUGCACUGUGCUCCGGGGCCCAGACGGCACCAGCAAAGGCUGCGCCUUCGUGAAAUUCCAGACCCACGCAGAGGCCCAGGCCGCCAUCAACACCCUUCACAGCAGCCGGACGCUGCCGGGCGCCUCAUCCAGCCUGGUGGUGAAGUUUGCUGACACAGAGAAGGAGCGAGGUCUCCGCCGAAUGCAGCAGGUGGCCACCCAGCUGGGCAUGUUCAGCCCCAUCGCCCUCCAGUUUGGAGCCUACAGCGCCUACACCCAGGCCCUGAUGCAGCAGCAGGCGGCCCUGGUAGCGGCUCACAGUGCCUACCUCAGCCCCAUGGCCACCAUGGCCGCCGUGCAGAUGCAGCACAUGGCCGCCAUCAAUGCCAAUGGCCUCAUCGCCACCCCAAUCACCCCAUCCUCAGGAACCAGCACGCCUCCUGCCAUCGCUGCCACGCCCGUCUCUGCUAUCCCUGCUGCCCUGGGCGUCAAUGGCUACAGCCCGGUGCCCACCCAGCCCACUGGGCAGCCUGCCCCUGAUGCUCUGUAUCCCAACGGGGUUCAACCCUACCCAGCCCAGAGCCCUGCGGCCCCUGUGGACCCCCUGCAGCAGGCCUACGCGGGGAUGCAGCACUACACAGCAGCCUACCCAGCAGCCUACAGCCUGGUUGCACCUGCAUUCCCACAGCCUCCGGCCCUGGUCACUCAGCAGCCGCCCCCACCGCCCCAACAGCAGCAGCAACAGCAGCAGCAACAGCAGCAGCAACGAGAAGGCCCCGAUGGCUGCAACAUCUUCAUCUACCACCUGCCACAGGAGUUCACAGACUCAGAGAUCCUCCAGAUGUUUGUACCCUUUGGCCACGUCAUCUCAGCCAAAGUCUUUGUUGACCGCGCCACCAAUCAGAGCAAAUGUUUUGGCUUUGUGAGUUUCGACAAUCCAGCCAGUGCCCAGGCUGCCAUCCAGGCCAUGAAUGGCUUCCAGAUCGGCAUGAAGCGCCUCAAAGUCCAGCUAAAGCGGCCAAAAGAUGCCAACCGGCCCUACUGAGGGCCCCAGCCCAGGGCCUGUGUCCAUUGUCGGCUGAAGCCCCCAUCCCCGGACCCCUGCUCCGGGCCCCUGUCUGGAGGUACCGGAGGAAGGGGCACCUCACUCCUCUUCCCGAGACUGGCCCGGCCCUCUGCACACAUCCGCCCCGGGCCCUGACUGGGCUCUGGGGCAAAAGCUGCUUUAUGGCCUUCGGGGCACAGGACACCGCCCCACCUCACCACCCGCCUCUAGAAGGGCCGUGGCUUUGCUUCCCUGGCCCCAAAGGUCUCUUUCUGCCCAGGCGCCCUUUUGGCCUUUGUGAGGGAGCAAGAACAGGCUUGAGGGUUCCGGGGUAUCUGCCUUCUGCCGGGACUCCUGUGCCGGCUCUGCCCCAGCCAGCCCCCGCCAGCCUCCUCCCGAGGUCGGCUUCUCAGAAGCUGGCUCUCACCCCUCCACCCGCAGCAGAUAGGAUAACCCUGAACCUGGGCUCCCAGCCCUAAAACUCACUGCCUCUCUGCCCGUCAGCCAGAGACCCUCCUCGUCUCGCGAGGAAAAGACCUCCCGAACCCCUAAAAAUGUUUACAGUCUCCGCUGGCCCCUCCAUGUAAAUACCAUGACCACCGUGCGUUAUCCAGCCCGCUCGGCCGGCCCGCCGGACGCUGCCAUCUCUCUUUCUGGGAGUUUAGACAAUUUGCCCUUGGGUUUUUUCUCACUCUUGAUUUCUCCCUUUGGUUUUGGGGGGCGGGUGAUUGGGUAUGUGGGAGGAAGGGUGUUGGGAGGGACGAAGGGGUUUAUUACCUGAUGAUUUUCUUUAGGCAAAGUUUUAGGGAAAGAAAGAUGGGGUGGGGGUGGGAGUUGUAAGGGGAGACUGGGGAGUCGGUUUCAGACAGUUCUCUAUGCUUAACUUAUUUAUUUAUUGCAUUUUACUUUUAAAGAGUUGGUCUUUUCUGUCUAAAUAAAGAACGUUU